rnacentral:lncRNA from 8 species
AUGCGGCUGACGCCUGGGUAACGCGAUCGGGCCCUAGCUACACCUUCGCUGAGGUCAGCCCCGGGGAGAGCGGUCAGUACUACUGCAAGGCACGCAACCGCAUCGGCGUCCAUAGCUCGCCUGUCCUCACUGUCAGGGUCAGAGGCAGACUGAAGGUUAUCGCCCUGGCCUCAGCUGUGGGCGUGUCUGCUGGUCUCAUCACUCUCACUGUGGCCAUCAUGAUCAGAGGCCAUCGGUGAGAGCUGACAGCCUGUUCUACGAGUCAGUCCAGCAGACCCUUCAGCUGAGGACUGGCAAGAUGUCCGACAUCCCGGGACGUUAAACAACAACUCCCACUCUGCACCACUAGAUGGAGACACCAUGGUCGUCCACUUGUAAUAAUCAGGAGGAGUCAGAGGUGUAUGAGAGUGCCCAUCCCUCCAUCGUACCCCUGAAGGAUGCUCCACCCUGCACAGAGGCAGACAGCAUCCUCAACUAUAUCACCAUGCAUUACUCCAGGAUCCCCAGUCUGGACCAGAUUCAAGUUACAAAUAUACCACUGGAUGGUGAUAAAGAGCCAAAAGAUAUUGCCAAUGUUGUUUACACAGUCCUGGCCAGACCACACCAGUAGUGGUGCAGAUGAGAACUGUAGUGUCCUUUGCUCAGUUUAUCAGUUGAGUGACAUCGCCAGAAGGAUCUCUACCAUCUACCCCUGAACUGCAUCUCAGCAGGACUGCUCACUCUAAGCCAAUUUAUGUUUUAUCUAAUUUACUACAAAGUUUAAUUUACUAGGAAUAGUUCAAGUAGGUACCUGUAAUUCAUUUGGCAUUAUAAGUGGCAUUAUAACUAAUUUAUUAGCAUUUAACAUUUUACUAGUAGUGGCCAGAUUAUUAAAUAUUCCGAUAGCAGAAUCAUCCUAAAAAUUCAACCUUUUCACCUUCAGAAGGAAGUAAUUUUGGGCAUUUUCUCUCUAGGUUCUCUCUAUCUCCUCCAUAAGAUAUCAUUAAAAUGUAACAUACUUUACAAAUGAAGUUUGGUAUACAUCAUCCCUCAUGCUAGUCUUAUGGAGAAUAUGUGUAAAUGUGUUACUGAUCAUAUCUGAUGUUUAGGGUAUGGUUGGUAUGUCCCAAAUUGCUUGUUGAAAUAGCUUGUUGUCAAAUAAAAGCAUUUAAAUGAAGAAAAAAUUAGUAGAUGUAUUAAAGAAAUAUUUAUCAGGUUGACACUUACCCUGUUUAUUCCGCUGUAUCAUGUUGUGGAUGUCAGUACUGAGUUAUUGGUAAAUUAUUAACAUACGAACUGUGUACUACUACUCAUAACAGAUGAACACGGAAAUAAUGCAGAGGUCAGAGGGGAUAUUUUAUAUUGUUCUAAUGUCAUUGCUGUGUUAUCCUGAUGGUGAAAUUAUUUCUGAAAUGAUUAACCUCAAAGAAUAGGGCUGUAUCUCAUCUGAGAUUACAGAGUAACUCAUUCAUCUAUUGAAUAAUACAGAAGAGGCCAUGAUAUGGUCAACUGAGUCUGCACCAGAAUGUGUACAGUAUUACCCAUGGUGUCUCAGAGGGAGAUGGGAUAUGCAAAAAACACAUUUUUAAUUCACAAGUGUAUAAUACACACUUGUAUGUGUGUGAAAUAGGACAAAGACAAGCACCCAACGCAUUAUUAUUAUUAUCUCUUCAACAUACUGAAUGUCUCUAAAUCACUAAAUCUAUUCCCUGCUUACAUAGAAAAGUUAGAUGACCUUCCCUGUCAACCUUCAGUCUCAACUUCUGUAUUCUGCUUGUGAAAUUAUUAUCACAUUAGUCCAUGGUAUUUGCAUGGUCAUUUGCUGACCAGUCUCAUUCUGUGGACAUGCUCUGCAGAUAGGUGAGUGAUCCUGUUUCUCUCUGUAAAGUGUCAUGUGUUUCCUUUCAUGCAGUUGAUUUGUAUGUUUACCAAUGUUAAUGUAGAAUAAGAUUUCUAUUAAGAAAUUGAAGCAUAGUUCAGUUUAUUUCAUGUUGGGUGAGGAUAAAAAACUGAAUGGCUAGAUGAUAUAAAGGUGUAUCCCAGUUGUGCUGUCUUAUUGACAGCAGGGUUGGGCUCAAUUUCAUUUUAAUUCCACUAUACUCCACAUUUUCCUCAUUGAAAAGCCUUGAAGAUAAUUGGAAUUGGAAUUUCAGUGUACUUCUUGAAUUGAAAUGGAAUUGACCCCAACCCUGAUUGACAGAGACAGUUACACCAUAUUUAAAUUAAAACAAUGUUGAUGCUGCCACCAUCAUGCUUCACCGUAGGGAUGGUGCAAGGUUUUCUCCAGUCUGUUUGAUGAUUGGCUUUGUUACUGUCUAAUGCUGUAUAAUUCCCUCAACCUGUGGUGUUGCAGUUGUUGGUGUUGCAGUUUGAUGCGAUGUGGCCCUUAGAAACAACCAGUGUGAUUACUCUCAAGUUUCCAGGUGAAUAGAAUAAAUAUUUGUUUGAUACUCUUUCUGUGGAUGCCAGUAUUCCGUUAUGAAUAAAUUAAUGAUAUAGAAUGUAUAUGGCUCAUUAGAGAUAAACAAGGAACUGAUUUGAUAUUGGUCUAAUGUUAUUGUUGUGUUACCUUGAUGGUGAAAUUUAUUAAAUGAUUAACCUCAAAGGAAAGUCAUAUUAUCUGAGAUUACAGAGUAACACACUCUUUACAUCAACAAAAAUACAGAAGUGACUGUCAGGUGUCAGUGUGCAGUGGUAGGACGGAGUCAGGCGCAGGACACAGAACUGAGUAAAAGAUGUACUUUACUCGAAAAGAAACAACAAUAAUUUCCACGCAGGGAAAAACACACCAGCGCACAGAAGUCUAGAACACUAAACAAAGAACAAACACGCACAAAACCAUGUGGGAACCAGAGGGUUAAAUAGGGAAUAAAUUAUAACAUAAUGG